GUGUGUGUGUGUGUGUGUGUGUGUGUGUGUGUGUGUGUGUGUGUGUGUGUGUGUUUCCAGGGGGGCUAUGCUGCCUACAGGUAUACUCAGCCUGCUGCCGCCACAGCAGCUGCUGCAUUCGGUGACAGUUACGGACCAGUAUAUGCUGCGGACCCCUACAACCACCCACUUGCUCCAGCAGCCACAUACAGCAUUGGUGCCAUGAAUCCGUUUGCCCCGUUGGCUGAUGCCAAGACGAGGAGUCAUGCUGAGGACGUGGGGCUGGUGUUGUCCUCCCUGCAGGCUAGUAUAUACAGGGGAGGCUACAGCCGCUUCGCCCCAUACUAACCCACCAACCAACCUCCCUAAAACCAUACAACAACCAAUUACUACCCUACCAACCAACCAACCUCCCCACAACCAAACAACAUCCAAUCCUUUCUGACAGGGACACAACUGAGCAACCAACCAACCACACAACCAACAAACCAGUAUGUGAGUGAGACAGACAGACAGAGAGAGAGAGACAGAGAGAGUGAGAGACAGAGAGAGAGAGAGAGAGAGAGAGAGAGAGAGAGAGAGAGAGAGAGAGGGAGAGAGAGAGAGAGACACAGAGAAAGAACUUUGAGGCCUGGGUAUUGCAAUAUAUGCUGUUGAUCAUGAUUUUAGCAGCUCCUAAGAGAGAGGGAAGUAAGUCAACUAAAAGGAAGGACAUUUAUACCUCAGAUAUUGUGUGCUGUUCAUUUUGAUACAGUGGGAUUUUCAUUUGUAAAGGUUAGUAGAUUGUCCGUGUUGGUAGAGCUAUAGAAGAGCUACUAGAUUUAAAACCUUACCAUUGUAAAACAACACAUUUCAACUGUUAGGGCUUCUUGAAAAGACAAACCAAUCCUGUAAAAUACAUCGUAGAAUGUGAUCCCGUUUUGUAAGAGUGUUUACAUGAUUGUAGGGUUCGGAUUUCUUUGACAUUCUCUCUGUCAGCGUCUACGUUGUUUCCUAGCUACUGGGGUUAGGAUUAGGAACGGGGUUAAAGUUAAGCACUGGGCAAGUGUUAGGAAUAGGGUUAAGGUUGGGGUUAGGUUAGGUUGGGAUUAGGGUUAAGGUUAGGAUUAGGAACGGGGUUAAAGUUAAGGACUGGGCAAGUGUUAGGGUUAGGAUUAGGGUUAAGGUUGGGGUUAGGUUAGGAUUAGGGUUAAGGUUAGGAUUAGGAACAGGAAUAAAGUUAAGGACUGGGCAAGUGUUAGGGUUAGGAUUAGGGUUGGGGUUAGGUUAGGAUCAGGGUUAAGGUUGUGGUUAGGUUAGGAUUAGGGUUAAGGUUGGGGUUAGGUUAGGAUUAGGGUUAAGGUUGGGGUUAGGUUAGGAUUAGGGUUAAGGUUGUGGUUAGGUUAGGAUUAGGGUUAAGGUUGGGGUUAGGUUAGGAUUAGGGUUAAAGUUGGGAUUAGGUUAGGAUUAGAGUUAAGGUUGGAAUUAGGUUAGGAUUAGGGUUAAGGUUGGAAUUAGGAUUAGGGUUAAGGUUGGGAUUAGGUUAGGUUAGGAUUGGGGUUAAAGUUAAGGACUGGGCAAGUGUUAUGGUUAGGAUUAGGGUUAAAUGUUGGGAUUAGGUUAGGAUUAGGGUUAAGGUUGAGGUUAGGUUAGGAUUAGGGUUAAAUGUUGGGAUUAGGUUAGGAUUAGGGUUAAGGUUGGAAUUAGGAUUAGGGUUAAGGUUGGGAUUAGGUUAGGUUAGGAUUGGGGUUAAAGUUAAGGACUGGGCAAGUGUUAUGGUUAGGAUUAGGGUUAAAUGUUGGGAUUAGGUUAGGAUUAGGGUUAAGGUUGAGGUUAGGUUAGGAUUAGGGUUAAAUGUUGGGAUUAGGUUAGGAUUAGGGUUAAGGUUGGAAUUAGGAUUAGGGUUAAGGUUGGGAUUAGGUUAGGUUAGGAUUGGGGUUAAAGUUAAGGACUGGGCAAGUGUUAUGGUUAGGAUUAGGGUUAAGGUUGAGGUUAGGUUAGGUUAGGAUUAGGGUUAAGGUUGAGGUUAGGUUAGGAUUAGGGUUAAAUGUUGGGAUUAGGUUAGGAUUAGGGUUAAGGUUGAGGUUAGG